rnacentral:rRNA from 1 species
UACACACCGCCCGUCACACCAUGGGAGUUGGUUGUACCAGAAGUAGAUAGCUUAACCGCAAGGGGAGCGUCUACCACGGUAUGGUCAAUGACUGGGGUG